GCUUCGGUGGCUUAGUGGUUAGAGUGUCCGUCUCGGAUGCAGGAGGUCGUGAGUUCGAUCCCCGAUGGAGUCA